rnacentral:rRNA from 1 species
AUUGAACGCUGGCGGCAGGCCUAACACAUGCAAGUCGAGCGGAUGAAGGGAGCUUGCUCCUGGAUUCAGCGGCGGACGGGUGAGUAAUGCCGAGGAAUCUGCCUGGUAGUGGGGGAUAACGGCCGGAAACGGGCGCUAAUACCGCAUACGUCCUGAGGGAGAAAGGGGGGGAGCUUCGGACCUCACGCUAUCAGAUGAGCCUAGGUCGGAUUAGCUAGUUGGUGGGGUAAAGGCCCACCAAGGCGACGAUCCGUAACUGGUCUGAGAGGAUGAUCAGUCACACUGGAACUGAGACACGGUCCAGACUCCUACGGGAGGCAGCAGUGGGGAAUAUUGGACAAUGGGCGCAAGCCUGAUCCAGCCAUGCCGCGUGUGUGAAGAAGGUCUUCGGAUUGUAAAGCACUUUAAGUUGGGAGGAAGGGCAGUAAGUUAAUACCUUGCUGUUUUGACGUUACCAACAGAAUAAGCACCGGCUAACUUCGUG